UUAUGAGCAGAGAGGUAUUUUAUGGGUGAUACAGUAAUUAAUUAUAAGCAGAAGGAUAAUGAUAAGGAGCAUAAUUUGUGACGAAAUUGUAUCGUCGAUAUCGUGACAGUUGGGAUAGAUGCGUGGAUUAAUGUAGGUAUUACUAAACGGAAAAUUUCUUAUUGGAUUUUAAGAUUAAAUUCUUGGUAUGCAUUUUUCUGUGGCCAUUAUUAGGUUAGAACCCUGGAUUAAUUAAUGGCAUGCAGUAAAGUCUAGAGAGGGUGUUACGGCUUGGGAGAGAACCGUAGUCUAGUUAAUAGCCACAAGAAGAAACUACGGAAACAUUUAAGUGCAAUUAUCGAUUUCUCAUAUAUUACAAUAAGUUCCUUUUCAGGGGGCAAAUGAUAAAAAAGGUGUAAUAAAAAUAUAAAAUAUAGAAAAAGAGUGACUUUAAAA
rnacentral:misc_RNA from 1 species